rnacentral:rRNA from 1 species
UACGGGGGGGGCAAGCGUUGUUCGGAAUUACUGGGCGUAAAGGGCCAGUAGGCGGCCAACUAAGUCCGACGUGAAAUCCCCAGGCUUAACCUGGGAACUGCGUCGGAUACUGGAUGGCUUGAAUUCGGGAGAGGGAUGCAGAAUUCCAGGUGUAGCGGUGAAAUGCGUAGAUAUCUGGAGGAAUACCGGUGGCGAAGGCGGCAUCCUGGACCGACAUUGACGCUGAAAGGCGAAAGCUAGGGGAGCAAACGGG